rnacentral:rRNA from 1 species
UACGUAGGGUGCAAGCGUUAAUCGGAAUUACUGGGCGUAAAGCGUGCGCAGGCGGCUUUGCAAGACAGAUGUGAAAUCCCCGGGCUUAACCUGGGAACUGCAUUUGUGACUGCAUGGCUGGAGUGUGGCAGAGGGGGAUGGAAUUCCGCGUGUAGCAGUGAAAUGCGUAGAUAUGCGGAGGAACACCGAUGGCGAAGGCAAUCCCCUGGGCCUGCACUGACGCUCAUGCACGAAAGCGUGGGGAGCAAACAGG